CACUGCUUAAGCUGGUCUUCCAUUGAACUUUAUUUUUUUUUCUUUUCUUUGUGUGCUGUUUUCUGAGAGCACUGAAGAGUCUUCCCUGAUGGGGAAACUUCCACAGAAGAACAUGGCUCGUUUUGGCAGCUCUUUCCCUGUGGUAGCUAAGAAGAUGGUUCCGGAGCAGAGGGUAAUUGGUGAUGUCCAAAUCCUGCUGUGGCCAUGUGGAUCCAUAUGACACAACUAAGGACACUGGAGUACUGGCCUAAAAAGAAGAGGUUCAUCUGUAUGCUUGUGUCUGCAGAGUUUACCAACACAGCUGCUCCAUGCAGUGGCUAUGUGUUUCUCUAUUUUGAAACAGGAAAUUACUGCUUGAAAAAGGUCAGUGAUCUUGUAAAGAAAUAUUUCAACUGGGUAAAACCCCUGUUAUACAUCGUGAUACAGAAUUGUUCGGAGUCAUGAAGCUCAGAACUUGUUUUAUUUCUUUUCUUCUUUUUUCUUUUUUUCUUUUUUUUUUGGCCUAUCAAGGAUUAUAGGCUGAGUUCAGCUUCAGUUCAACCUUCAUCAAUCAAUAUCAUUAAAAGCAAAAAAUUUGCCAAAGCAAACUUACUCUGUCAGUGCUGCUCUAAUGAGUGGAUGAGGGGAGCACUACGUGAUCGACUUCAGAAGGGUUGCUCCACUAAGUGUCACGGCUGCUUGAAUUUAAAAUGUCAAAGUUACUCCAGUUAUAGCUCCUGCUGGGCACCAAAGCCUGUUGGAAAAACCCUAAAAGACAGCUGGAAAGGGAAUAUUGUAUCAAAUGUCCAAGUGUUCUAAUUGACUGGUCUGAGCAUAGAAAUCCACAAAAUGUUGAGAGGCCAAAUCCUUGUCCUCAGAUAGUUGGCUUCAGGAGAACUUGCAGGGAAAGGAAAGAUAGCUACGAGGUGGAUUGCUCUGCAAGGAGAAGGCAGGAAAGCUGCUACAUAUCUUGGAUAUGAAGAUGUGGCUGGGGAGCUAAGACCACAGGUAUGUGCAGCACAAUGCAAGUUAAUGUAUUUUGACUCCCCUCUUAGCCAAGGAACUAUGAAAGCUUCUGGGAAAAAAAGUUUCCUUGGGAAUUGCUUUCUAAGCAGUUGUUGUGAUGCUUUGUAUAUGUAACAAAAUAAAAAUAAGGUCAGCGUGCUUAUUCCUUUUCCCAUUUCACUCAUGCUGAGUUUUUGACACAUUAAAAUUAAACCCUCAACGUAUCAGGUUGAACACUAGGAAGAAUUUCCACUCAGAAAGAGUGGUGAUGCAUUGGCACAGUCUGCCCAGGGAGGU